rnacentral:lncRNA from 1 species
GUUAAAACCCUAGAUAUAUAUUACUACCAUAACCUUAUCCUUGGUUUUUUAAAAAACACAUAUGCAAAACACGCCCCCACCUCCGUCUCCUUCAUCUUCAACCUAAAGAAAACUUCAUCCUCUCAAAUUCCCUCCUUCAUUAUAAUUUUUAACACAGACAAACACACAUCAACCAGGGAUCAUCUUCCAUAACAGAACACACAUACUCACUUGCAACCCACCCCCUGCUCUCCCGUGAUGCUCUUGGCCGAUGACGACCGGAGCGAUUAACCGGCGGUGACUGGUGACUCUCCGCCGCCACCUCCUUCUCCGACCACGCACGACACACCCUCACAACCAUUGGCAUACCUCUCACCACCCUGUUUCGUAACCGCCGGAGUCGGAGAACUUCGCCGGAGAAACCAGAAGCACCGAAACCGCAUGACCCGAAGUCGCCGGACAUCGCGUUCCCUUCGUCGGAGAUCGAAGUUACGUCCCACGUAUUCCGGGUAAUCACUCUCGUGAGUUCGGUCUUCCCUAUCUUUUCCUCGCGCGUUAUUUCAAGGAAUCUCCAUACGUAAACACUGCUGAUAAGAUGCUGGGAAGUGCAUGGAAUUCAGCUAGGAGAUGCUUAGAAAUGUCACCUAGUUAACUGAGAACCUGUUGAACAAUGUGAACAAUAUCUGUUUUGGUCUGUAUUCGAUACUCGUGUUGGUCAUGUUUGCUUUUAGACUAUGCCAUGAUGAAUUUGAUCUAAUUUCUAUUGAAAUAAAUAGUGU